GACGAACGCUGGCGGCGUGCCUAACACAUGCAAGUCGAGCGGAGACAGCAGCAAUGUUGUUUUAGCGGCGGACGGGUGAGUAACGCGUGGGCAACCUGCCUAUAACUGGGGGAUAACACAGGGAAACUUGUGCUAAUACCGCAUAACAUCAUGAAGGGACAUCCCUUUAUGAUCAAAGGAGCAAUCCGGUGAUAGAUGGGCCCGCGUCCGAUUAGCUAGUUGGUGAGGUAAUGGCUCACCAAGGCGACGAUCGGUAGCCGAACUGAGAGGUUGAUCGGCCACAUUGGGACUGAGACACGGCCCAGACUCCUACGGGAGGCUG
rnacentral:rRNA from 1 species